rfam:Daphnia pulex DAPPTscaffold_219_Cont7342, whole genome shotgun sequence.
GACGUGGUGGCCGAGUGGUUAAGGCGAUCGACUGCUAAUCUGUUGUGCUCUGCACGCAUGAGUUCGAAUCUCAUCCACGUCG